UCAGCAGGAGAAAUAAAUAGUGUUGUCAUUCUGAUCCACAUAGAGGUGCAGGAGGAAGAUGAGGUGAUCGUGUUUUCCUCUGCGAGAGACACAAAUGAGAUUUACAACUGUUCUGAACCUGAGCAUUGGAAGAUGCAAUAGCAUAACAAUGUAAGCUGUCCAUUUUCAUUAUAAAAAAACACUCAACAUAUACCCCUUUCUGUUAACAGUGGUGAAAAGUUAAUAUUAUGGGCCUGUUUUGAAUGUAAAGAUAAUCACUUCCCUUGACUGUAGGCUUGUGUAAUUUCUGAGUUUGGCUAGUUAAUGUGGCAAUGAUAACAUGAAGGCCUGAGUGUAAAAAGUAUUCCACUGCGACCUAAUUAAAGCAUAACAUCCAACACUAACUACAUUCAUACAGCACAUCCAGCCAUUUUUAAUCAGGAAGCUCUAUGCAUCAAGAUAUACGAUGUUGACGCGCGCCUUAGGUCCAGCUGUUUGCACAACGAAUGCUCCUUUGAGACACUACAGACAGCUGACGAGCAUUUAUUUGUGAGACGGAAGGUUUUCAAUCGAUCUGUCCGGUUUUCAAGCAUUCUUCUUCCAACCGGUGUUCGACUCCAAAACCCCGCUCCACCAGAGAUGUUGCACGCCAACUCCUGGAUUUGCUUUUCUCCCACUCCAGCUAUGACGACACAUUAAAUUAGCUUAAAGUAUGCCAAGCCAAUCGACCAACGGGAGAGGAGGCAAGUUAUGUUUAAAAAAAAUGUCAUGGCAAACGAAUCUUCCAAUCAGUUCGCAGUACUUGUCUCUUCGUCUCCGCCCAUUGCUUUUUAUUGGACACAAAACCCGCGUCAUUGUGCUAUCAAAACGAGAAAGUGUGGUGAAGAUAUUGUAUCAACAAUUUGAAAGCGUUUGGAUCUUUCUUUCUUUAGGCCUAGUAGGCCAGUCUACUUCAAUGAUCUAUUCUAUGGUCAUUUCAGUGAGUUCAUAUUUUAAAUGUAUAAUCUCUAGCGAAGAGAAGAAGUGUGUUACAGGUAUUAAUUAGCCUGUUGUAUGACGAAUAUUAUAUGCAGUUAUGAACCUGGUUCAAUCACCACCGCAGCAGGUAGUUUUUAUCUGGAAAUUCCUUAAACAUUCAAGGACAUGCCUGCCCUAUGGUAUAUUAUGCACAUCCUAUGUAGAGUGGCUUGUGUUUGUACAUUGGUGGACGUUUUUAUUAUUUGAUUUAUUUAACUAGUGGAUGUUGGUGGAAGUUUAAUUCUAGCUUUUUAAAAGCAUCUACUUAUAGUAGUGUUGUGUUUCAACAUGACAUCCUCUUAAAUGACAGGGUAGCCUAGUGGUUAGAGCGUUGGACUAGUAACCAGAAGGUUGUGAGUUCAAACCCCCGAGCUGACAAGGUACAACUCUGUCGUUCUGCCCCUGAACAGGCAGUUAACCCACUGUUCCUAGGCCGUCAUUGAAAAUAAGAAUGUGUUCUUAACUGACUUGCCUAGUUAAAUAAAGGUAAAAUAAAAUAAACAGUGGCUCCAAAAGGAAUUACGUUAUGCCCCAAAAAAGAGGUUGGCUAAAAGCAGUCAGCUGCAUCAAGUCUGAAUAGCGAAUGCAUUUAAAUCAACAAAAAUGUGUUACAAAUGAACAAAAGAUGAGUGUUUCACAAGACUGCAGUGGCAUUCAAGAAGUAUGUUGGUGCCUUUUGUUUUACACCACAGGACUGUGGCCAGUGACCUCUGUCUGUCGCCCUUCCCCCUCAUUUCCUGUGAGACAGAAACUGCAGCACCAAAUGGUCAUGAUAACACCGCUUUUUCUUAUCCAUGGCAUUUGGUUAUAGUGGUCCCUGAAAAUGCACAUUUACUUGCCAUUUCACCCUAAUUUUGAAAGAAUGUUGAGUCAUUAAUAUGUUGGAAAUCCUCAAGACGUUUCACCAAAAAAGAAAAUAUGACUCUUCGGCAGUGUUAGUUUUUAGGGGAAGUUUUUAAAGGCUCAUGACAGACCAGCUCAUAUGACUACAGUAUAUGUUGGAACCGCCUCUUCAGAUAAGGAAACCGAGGAGGCACUGUAAUGCCACAGCAAACACAAAGCCCUUUUUUUGUGCAGUAUAUCAGUAUACAGCAAAUACUGCGUCCAAACUAAUACUUUUUUAAAUUUAUUGCAGAAAUGUUGCAGUGUAACUGCAGUUAUCCUGCAUUUACUGCAUCCAAAAUACUGCUGUUUCAAAACUGAAAUCUGUUUUUAUAAGAGAUACAUCCCAAAAUCCGCCUGACCAGGAAGAUAAAGAGGGUGCUUAAAGUAGAGGCUUAGGAAACAAGGUUUAUUAAAGAGCGGCAGGUAGCCUAGUGGUUAGAGCGUAGAGGCGGCAGGGUAGCCUAGUGGUUAGAGUGUAGGGGCGGCAGCGUAGCCUAGUGGUUAGAGCGUUGGGCCAGCAAAGGUUGCUGGAUUGAAUCCCGAGCUGACAAGGUACAAAUCUGUUGUUCUGCCCCGGAACAUGGCACUGUUCCCCAGUAGGCCAUCAUUGUAAAUAAUAAUUUGUCUUUAACUGACUAGCCUAGUUAAAUUUAAAAAAGAGCUGAGAGAGGUUGAUGGUUUAGAAUUUCUGCUUACUUCUAGAAAAAAUGUUGUGUGUUCGAACAGCCGGAAAAAAACAAACCGAAGUCCAAAACGUCACAAAAAUCGUCAGAAUAUAUGCACGAACUCCUCCAAACUGUAUCAACUGAAACCUUUAUAGAGCUGGGAGAGGUUGAUGGCGAUACAUUGAUGAUAUUUUGAAAAGGAAAUGCAGAUCAGCUUUCAUAAUAAUAUGGGUCUGGUGGUCAUUUUUUCUAAUUGCUCAGUGGAGUCGGUUUUAAUGAAGCAUGAGGAUGGAUUGUACUUUUGAAAAUUAGAUGUAUAUUCUUGUUCAGUGUUUUGUGGCUUACACUGAAAGAGCAUUUGAUAUUUAUUAAUUUAUUUAUUAAUGUAAAUAUCCUUCCCUACAGCACCAGUCAUAUUCUAGUAAUAGUCGACAGACCAUCGUUCAUCCCAUGCAUUGGAUUGUCCACACAGGAACACAGGUGAACUGAAGUUCACAACCAGAUAGAAUUAAAAUAGAUUAAUAGCUUGACUAAAAUAUUUCCAUUUAUUGUAAACAUUUAAAGGCACUAAACAUUGGGAACUAUCUACAAAAAAUGUCAGUGCCUAUAAAUGAUUGAUAUCAAUAAAUCCUUUCAACCCUG